rnacentral:lncRNA from 1 species
UCAUGCAAGAAUCAAACUCUAAAUCCUCAAACUCAUGUAUAAAGCAUCUCUUUAGCAUGCUAGAGUUCUAUUUAAACCAAUUCUAGAGUAUAAAGUCCAAACCCUAGAAGUUUACCAUGAUUGAGCUUCAAGCUUACCUCCAAAAGCUAGCUCCAAGGUGUAGAGGAAGAAGAUGAAGAUGAAGAUCCUUCUCCUUGCUUGCUUCUCCACCAAAUCCCUUCUCUUCUUC